rnacentral:lncRNA from 1 species
CGGCCAUGUCGGUGGCCCUCUUCGUCCUCUGCUACCGGUCCAACAAGGUGGUCACCGUCAGGCCAUGGGCGACCGGACUCAGCGGCCAGCUGCAGAAGGCGUUCGUCACAGGUGUGCCGUCGCUCAAGAGAUCGGAGCUUGAGAUCGCCUGCGAGGAUUUCAGCAACGUCAUUGGGACCUUGUCGGAUUACAUGGUGUACAAGGGGACGCUGUCGACCGGCGUGGAGAUCGCGGUGGUGUCCACCACCAAGAACUCCGCCAAAGAAUGGUCCAAGCACUGCGAAUCACAGUUCAGGAAGAAGGUAGUACAAAAAAAAUAAAUGACACUCUCAAAUUCAAGGGUGAAGUAUAAUACAUCUCUCACUUUCAUCAGGACUAAAGCUACUGACUGUCACUGUUUUGAUUUCAGAUAACCAGCCUGUCGAGAGUGAACCACAAGAACUUCAUCAACCUGCUGGGAUACUGCCAGGAAGAGCAGCCCUUCACAAGGAUGAUGGUGUUCGAGUACGCGCCAAACGGCACGCUCUUUGAGCAUCUACACGGUAAUCUUUCACUUGGCUGCGUUGCAAAUUUGCAUUGAUAAAGAGUCAUAUGCUGAUGGGCGGUGCAGUUAGAGAGGACGGUUACCUGGACUGGCCGACUCGCCUGCGCGUGGCGGUGGGCGUGGCCUACUGCCUGGAGCACAUGCACCAGCUGAGCCCGCCGGAGAUCCUGCGGGCGCUGGACACGUCCACCAUCUGCCUCACCGACGACUUCGCGGCCAAGAUCUCCGACGU